GUUAGGUUCAGAGGGUGUGUGAAUAUUGUUUAGGGGUGUAGGAUGUAAAUUGUUUGGGCUUAGGGCUUUGAUAAGCCCAAUACGAGCCAACCAUGUAAGAGAGGAGGGGAACUUAGAUUUUCACUCCAUCGUUCCUCAUUCUACAUGCGUUUCAUACUUCACCUCGAGCGAGAAAAACUCUGCCGCGUCGGAAAUUGCCUUGGCGGCGGCGAAGGUCCAAUCCCUUCAACCUACACAUCAAGGUACUCUCCUUUAUCCCCUCUUCCACAAUCCAAUAUCCAUUUAUUUUAAUUCCUAAUUUAAAUUCCAAAAAUCGACCUAAGAAACAAAGGAACCCUAAAACCUAAAAACCAAAUUAAAUGAGGAAGAUAAGCUAAUUGGAGCCCAAACCAUGGGGGUUUGGCUCCCACGAAGGAGCAUUACAUCGUGGUAAUGGUGAAUUGAAGAAAGGGAGUAGAAAGGCCUACCUGCCAAAGAAAAUCCAGCGGUUCUUCAAGGUAUUAACACCGAUGAAAAGAAUGUCUAGAGAUUGUCUUCUUCUUCGGCCUUGUUUAUUGCAAGUGUGCACAUAGGAUGGCUUGGUAUGCAAGGCUUGAUCAAAGUUGUUUAGCACAUCAUAACACAUUAAGAUGGAAGUCAAAAUCAAAGGAAGGAGAUUGGAGACUUGGAUGCUCAAUAAUGGGGGGACCUUGUGGAUGUAGAGAAAAUGAGAUUAGGGUCAUAAGAUUAGAUAGUUGACUUUGGUUAACUGGUUGACCAAAGAGUCAUUAGUUAACCAAAGUAAAAUGUAGGUCAAAAAUGAAAUUUUUGUAUAGGAUUGGGCUUUGAAUUUCUUGUAAUGGAAUUGGUGGAUUUUUACUUUGACUUUUGUAAUAUAACUUGCUUUCCCUCCGAAGUUUUGAAUA